AUACCGAGCCUCCCUGGGAUGCGUCAGCUAUUCAUGUAUAUCCCACAGAAAUAUUUGUGAUUUACAUCAUCUAUUUUGGGGUAACUUCAGGUAAGGUCAUAGCCCUGCUUCUUAAUGAAUGGGGAGAGUCUGAAUCUACAGGCCCUGAAUUGCCCUGUGGACAUCCUACAGGUUCUUAAAGGCUGAUUGACCAACAACUUCACGUGUGUGGACUAAGGUGGUGGGAACACCUUCCUCCCAACCACCCACCUAGACUCCAGUUUUAGGGAAUGUUGCCUUAGCUGUGCUUGGUGCAUGCCAUGCUAAUGCAGAGUAAAGGGAUCUUGUUGGUGGAGGGCUGAAAUAUGCCCCCAGCACUUCCCACUUGAGGAGGUGAAGGCAGGAGUAGAAUAACAAUUGAAAAGCCCCAGGCACCUAGUUCACCCUCCUCAGCUUUGAUGGGGCAGUGGCAUUGCUCAAAGGGUAAGCUGGGUCCUGCCUGUUUAUUUUAAGCUGAAAGCCAAAAUGGUCAUGCUAGUUACUUGAAAGUUUGUUUCUGUGUUCUGCUAAUUAUCAGCCUCGGAGAGCACCCAGAACCUCUCUGGGGCCCAAAGCAUUGCGAAAACACAGAAAGGUUAAUUGAAGACAAUGGCAAAACAAGAAUCCCAGCUUUAACCUUCCUGGUCUGCCCUUGUUAUGCUAACAGCAUGGUGCCGGCAGAUUUAAUGACUCCUCAUUACCCUGCUAGCUAAUUAACCUUCUGCCCUGAAAAGCAGAAAGUCUGAAAAAGAACCUCUUGCCCAGGAACCUCCUCUUGCCAGCAGCCUGUAGGGUUAAAGGAGACAUCUCCAGUGCUGUCAGGCUCAAAUCCUGCAUGGUUUCCAAAUGAUUCCCAUUAAAUCAGUUUUCUCUCCCAGAGUUCGGGUGCGAUUCAGACCUUGUGCAUCCUCCCAGAGCGUCAUGUUUUCUCCUGAAAAGGCACCCUGUGCCUGACCCUCAUAUAACUAGGAACCUCUGAGGGGAAAAAAAAAAAAAAAAGAAGAAGAGACAUGAAUGAUUCAUAGAUGCAAGGGGGGAAAAGACGGAGGGAGAGGGGGAGAAAGAGAGAGAGAUUAAG